GACGAACGCUGGCGGCGUGCUUAAUACAUGCAAGUCGAACGGAAAGGCCCUGAUUUUGUGGGGUGCACGAGUGGCGAACGGGUGAGUAACACGUGAGUAACCUGCCCUUGACUUUGGGAUAACUUCAGGAAAAUGCGGAUAAUACCGGAUAGGAGCUACUGCUGCAUGGUGGGGGUUGGAAAGUUUCGGCGGUUCGGGAUGGACUAGCGGCUUAUCAGCUUGUUGGUGGGGUAGUGGCUUACUAAGGCUUUGACGGGUAGCCGGCCUGAGAGGGUGACCGGCCACAAUGGGACUGAGAGACGGCGCAGUCUCCUACGGGAGGCAGCAGGGGGGAAUAUUGCACAAUGGGCGGAAGCCUGAUGCAGCAACGCCGCGUGCGGGAUGACGGGCUUCGGGUUGUGAACCGCUUUCGCCUGUGACAAAGCGUGAGUGACGGUAAUGGGUAAAGAAGCACCGGCUAACUACGUG
rnacentral:rRNA from 1 species